AAUAAGUUUAUUUAUGGGUUUGUCUUCAACACUUGACCACCGUCCGUUUUAUUUAAAAUUUUGUUAUGAUCAGUAUUUUUUUUUGUUAUUAGAUGAUAAAAACAUGUAUAAUAUUUUAUGUGUGAGUUAUUUCUUUUAAUUUUUUAUAUAUUUUUAAAUAAAACGGACGAUCACCCGUUAAAUACAGAAUACAUAAAUAAACUUAUU
rnacentral:pre_miRNA from 1 species